GACGAACGCUGGCGGCGUGCUUAACACAUGCAAGUCGAGCGGAGCGGCGAACGGGUGAGUAACGCGUGAGUAACCUGCCCCCCUCUCUGGGAUAACACUUGGAAACAGGUGCUAAUACCGCAUACUGAUGGAUGGACCCGCGGUGCAUUAGCUAGUUGGUGAGGUAGUGGCCUACCAAGGCGACGACGGGUAGCCGGCCUGAGAGGGCGACCGGCCACAUUGGGACUGAGAUACGGCCCAAACUCCUACGGGAGGCAGCAGUGGGGAAUAUUGCACAAUGGGCGCAAGCCUGAUGCAGCCAUGCCGCGUGUAUGAAGAAGGCCUUCGGGUUGUAAAGUACUUUCAGCGAGGAGGCGUUACUCGCAGAAGAAGCACCGGCUAACUCCGUGCCAGCAGCCGCGGUAAUAC
rnacentral:rRNA from 1 species